rnacentral:rRNA from 1 species
GGGCCCGCACAAGCGGUGGAGCAUGUGGUUCAAUUCGACGCAACGCGAAGAACCUUACCUGGGCUCGAACGGCUUAAGACAAACUUUGGAAACAGAGUCUUCUCGCAAGAGACUUGAGUCGAGGUGCUGCAUGGCUGUCGUCAGCUCGUGUCGUGAGAUGUUGGGUUAAGUCCCGCAACGAGCGCAACCCUUGUCCUGUGUUGCCAUCAUUCAGUUGGGAACUCGCAGGAGACCGCCAGCGAUAAGUUGGAGGAAGGUGGGGAUGAUGUCAAGUCAUCAUGGCCUUUAUGUCCAGGGCUACACACGUGCUACAAUGGACGGUACAAACCGCUGCAAACCCGCGAGGGGGAGCUAAUCGGAAAAAACCGUUCUCAGUUCGGAUUGCAGGCUGCAACUCGCCUGCAUGAAGCUGGAAUCGCUAGUAAUGGCGUAUCAGAAUGAUGCCGUGAAUACGUUCCCGGGCCUU